CAUCGAGUAGUUUGCAAGCAAUCCAUCCACCUGAACCAUUGGAGUGCCUCCCCAUCCAGAUGAAAGGACACUGUUACCACUUCUUGUGCUCAGCUGUGGAGUAGUAAGCAAAAAAUUUGUAGAUUUUUUUAUUUUAACUUGUAAUGUAUUUCAUGUGUUUAAUGUACAAGAGCCGAGUAUAUAUCGGAGAGGAGAUAAGAACGAAAGAUGGGAGAACGAAAGAUGGGAGAGAUGUCUACUGCAAGCAGCCGACAAUAUCUAAUCUAAUCCUUAAAUCAAUGAGAACUAAUCUACUCCUUAAAUCAAAGAUUUACACCAAUCAGUCACCUCCUUUAAAUCAAGGGAAGAGAGUUGCCUUGAGCUGACCCUAGAGACCCUUGGUAGCUGACUCUAGAGGUUAAGAGUCUAAUGGGAAAUGCUUUACACUUCAACAUUCCUCCUCAAGCUAGAUCAAGGAGCUUAAUUGAGCCAAGCUUGCCCAAAAAAACGAUGAAAUUGAGUAGAUGCUAGUGCCUUGGUAAAGAGAUCAGCCAGUUGAUCAUGGCUUCGUGUGAAUAUGGUGCGGAUGAUUUGAGUUUGAACUUGAGCCCUAAUGAAAUUACUGUCCACCUCAAUAUGUUUGGUUCUUUCAUGGAACACAGGAUUGUUGUGUUCCUUUCAAAUGAAAAUAUAAGGAUAUUAUAGUGGCACACAAGUAAGGGUGGCGAAUCACAGAGACUAAUUAGACCUCUACAAUUACUAGCUUUAUGUGAACCCUAAAGAAAAUGUAAAUGAAAACUGAAUUUAGAUUUUUGUUUUGAAAGCUAAAGUAACUUAAAAUGCAAGACAAGAUAAAGAUGCAUGAUAGAUUGAUUCAGAAAUGAUGGGAAUGAAACUAGGAAUAUCGAUUUCACCAUUACAAGCCAAUUAAAUGAAAAUUAAGUCAAAAAACAUUCAACUCUCCAAUCUACAACUAGGGUUCAUUUUACUUAUUUAUGAUCAUCCAUUUGAUGUGUGAUUGUGAUCAAGUACUCCUAAUCUGCAACCUUGUUAUGAUGGUCAACUUAGAUUACCAAAUAAGAAUCCAUUAAGAACAAGAAAACUUCAAAGAACCAAAGAAAUCACAUGGCAGGAUGUAUGCAUAGUAGUUUCUUCAUUUAUUCACAUGUCUACCAAGAUUAAGCAUGAUGUGUACUAUAAUCUUGAUCAAAUAAUUCAUAAGUAGCCCUAAUGGUGAUCAAACAUUAAGAUUAACAAACAAAUUAAACUAUAAAAUCAGUGAAUGAAAGAACACAGAUUGGUAAUUUGAAUACUUUAACUUAAUAACAAAUAGUAGGUUUGCAAGUCUACAUCAAAAUUCACAGCUAUGAACUUAAUUACACAACAUGAUUACUGAAGGAAAUUUUGUGAAAAACAUGUUCAUUUGAGCAACAUCUAUGGCAUGCAAUUAACAUUGAAAGGCGAAAUCAUGCUUGUAUUGUUGGAAAUGUGCCCUAAAACCAAUCAUAUGAUGAUACUUUACGGACAUUUCACAUGUUAAACUAAUCUAGUUUAAUAUCAAGGGCAAAGAUUAUUGUUUGAGCCGUCUCAUGUAAAUGUUAUACGCUUAAACGAUAAGUCCACAGAAUAUGUGAUUGGGAGAAUGCGAGCUAAAGAAGUUAGAUUCAUGAGACAAUUCUUUCGUAGACACAUCCUAAACGUUCCUGAUCAUAGGAUUGCCAAUUGGGCAUUGACAGUCUGUUAAGAUCAGUACGUGCUGUGUCUUCUCUAAGGGAGAGUAACUAGUCUCGAGUCAUUGGUGUGUGUGACAUCAAGACAAGCAUGUAGGUGCUCAAUAAUGAAUGAGUCCACUGAACACGAUCAACGAGGAGUUCUCAUACUCAUGUCACAUGAGAACUCAUGGUUCGGAUAAUGCAAAGUAGUCCUUUGACCUGAGGCAUCAUAGUUGUCUUGUGGUUAAGUCCUUGAUCUUUGAUUGUGUUAAAGUCACUCCAUUCGAGGGUGUCCACGGCAUAGUUGGGGUUAAGCCACUUAGCCAUGGAGGCGAGUGAAUGCGCAACAAGGGAUCUCUAACCUUCAAACUGUUUGGGGGAGAAUACUCUAUGAUAUGAUUAAGAAUCUCUGGCCAGAGUAUGAAUGAGAUUUAGGAAGUCGUUCCAAAUCUCAUUCAAGGUAAUCAUAUAAGCACAUGUAUCACAUUGGAUAGUAGACAUGAAUAAACUAUCAAUCCAAACAAUGUGGUCAAGAGUAUUGUAUUAGAGAAAUAUCGUAUUGCAUUGUAAUCCUAAACUGAAUAGGUUCUCCAGCUCUUCUGAUUAGCUUGGGUAACCAUGAUAUGCUGCUAGUUGUCACUCAUGGUUUGUGGAAGCCCUAAACGUGUAUAAUCACUAAAGGGAGAAUUGAAAGUAAGUUUCAAUUCACAAUCGAUUUGAAAUGGUUUUAAUCGCCCACUGCCUCGCUAAAAGGAACCUAAUGGAUCGUACACCGUGUAAGGCAGAGAUUGAAGAAACAAUGGAGAUGAGUAAGAAUAAUUAAAUGGUUUAAUUAUUUAUGGCAAGGAUUAAUUAAUAUGUUAAUUAAUCAAACAAAUCAAGUUCGUUAAAACACCACGGGUUAGUUUUCGGCCUCAAGGCCCAAUGGGCAUCGAACGUCAAGCUCAUUGACUUAAGUUGUAUGACAACUUAAUAACAAAUAAUUCACAAAGGCCUUAAAAGCCCAAUGAAACCCUAUGGCCGGCCAUUUAGUUAAAGGAGUGGGUUUUGGACUUAAUUACAAGUUUGCCACUCAAAUGAAUGUAGGUAUAAAUAUGACUUUAUAGCCAAAAUUCAUUUAGGGUUUCUUUUAGAGAAUUGAAGAGAACACAAAGCUCUCCUUUUCUCUCUAAAGAGGCCAGCCACCCUUGGAGGGAUUAGCUAGUAAUCUUUCUCCUCCAAGGUCACUCAUUUCUUCAUCAAUCUUACCUUGGUGUGGAGACUUAGAGGUUCUCAAUUUUGAGAACUUGGAGAAACCAAUUCUUCCAUCCAAAUCCAUGGAUCUAAGAAGCAAGGAAUGAAGGCCCUCUCCUUGGGUGAUUAGCCUUUGCUUAUGCAAAGAGGAAUCUACAAAGGUAUAAUAUUUCUCAACUAACAAAUGUUGUUUUAAGUUGAGUCAAGGUUCACCAAUCUACUAGGCUUUGAAUUUCAUGGUUCAUGUUUUGUUUUUAAGUGCAUACAAGCAUGAUUCCGCCUUUUAAUUGUUAAUUGCAUGCUAUAGUUGUUGCUUAAAUGAACAUGUUUUUCACAAAAUUUCCUUCAAGUGGUAUCAGAGCCUAGGUCUAGUAAUUGGUGAAUCCUUUUGGGUUUUGUAGUUCAUAGUUUUUUAUUCAAAUGUUGUAAUAUGUUACAAGCUUUAUUCUUGCUUCUUUGAAUGUAAAUUUUGUUAGAAAAUUUUCCAUCUCAAAUGUUGUAGAUGUAGUUCAUAUGAGCAUGAAUAUUGGAGCUAAAAUUUGGUGCCAUGUUUUUGGGAAUUGUCGGCCAAAUCCAAAGGGUGGAUUUUUGGGUUCUUGUUUGACUUGUUAAAAGUGUUUUCAAGUAACUUUUGGAACCCCUAUGUGCCCUAGUUUGGUUAUAUGUUAUUUCCCUUAAGUUUGAAUGGUUUUGGGAUGUUUUUGGGUGAAAAAUGUUCAUGGAAAUUUUUUGAGUUUUUCAUGAGUGUUCUUCAUUGUUCUUGACAUUUUUGCCAAGAACAAAAAGUUUGGUGUUUUGAUUCAAAGUUUUGAUUUAUUUCAUAAAGUUUAUGUAUAUUUUUCAAAUGUUUAAAUGUGUUAGAUAUUUAUUUAGAAAGAUGUAAGAAAUAUUGGUGGGUGUGUAAGGAUUAAUUCCCUUUCACACACACCACUUGCAUGACAUUUAUGUCAUGCACCACUUGCAUGCUUUAUGUCUAAAACUACAAAUCAACACACACAUCACUCCCUUCUAUCUAAAACCGGCCACCCUAUUAAAAUAGGGUACUUUUGGGGCUUUUAUGUAAUUACAUAAAGUUUUGAUACUUUUGUGUUUUUGCACUUUGGCCCAAAAGUUUACGUUUUUACGUUUAGGUCCAAAAACGCUAAAGGAAAAAUUGUUUUGCUCCUUUAAUGAAGUUUUUGCAUUUGUUGAAAUUUUUGGGUUCUAGUUGUAAUUACAUGAAGUAGUGGACUUUUGUGUUUUUACAAAGUGACCCCAAAAGUUUAUGUUUUUGCAAUAUAGCCCAAAAGUUGAGGUUAUUGCAUUUUGGCCCAAAUUAAGUUGAGAACCAAAUUGUUUUGUCUCUUUAAAUGAGAAUUGGAUUUUCAUUUCAUUUAGCUCCAUUUAAAUCAAUUUUAUGGAUACAAAAACCAAAUGAAAAUGUUGCAUUCAAUUUAAUUAGUUAAAGUGUUAAUUAAUUAAAGGGUGAUUAUGAACCUAAGCUUACGAUAAUUGAGCUAUGUGAAAGGCCGUUUCAAAUUUGUUUGAACCAUAGGAAUGUGUAGAUAAGAUUUUGGUUGUAAUUUGAUUUGAUCAAAUGUUGUAAAAGAGCAUAAGCUUUUCUUUACUUUAAAGUAAUUUGUUUUAUUCAAAUGUUGUAAAGAGCAUAAGCUCAUCUUUACUUUGAAGUACUCCUUUCUUAUAUUAUUUGAUAUGCAUGAAAAUGGAGUAGAGGGUCCAACGCCCCUAAGACAACACGCCUUAAUGUGAUUAAAUGCGUAACUAAAAUCAAUCACCAUCCCUAGACCGAGAUUCAACACUAGGCUCGUGUUGAAUCUAAACAAAGGUUCAUAGUCAUCCUAAGGCCCUAAGACAACUAUAUAGUCCAUGAAAUGAAUGCAAAGUUUAUGUUAGUAGUAUCAUAUACUCUGGCUUUAAAAACCGUUUUAUAAGCAUAGUGGGAGUAUUAUAUACAACUAAAUUCAAUCAAAUGGACCAAUUGUUGUAAUAGGACCAAAAUUGUUUUAAUAAAGAUUAAAAUGAAUAUUUAUAUGUGAUGAGACCUAAAAACCCUCAACCAAACCAUUAUUAAGUUGAUAACCGAGAGAUGCUUUGAACAUCUCUUCGUAGGCCUUCCACCAUGGUGGGCUUCAAUCGUUUGUGACUCAUACACCAUAUUCGUCCAGUUCAAGGGUAUGCAAAGUAUGUGCUUACAUUAAGGAGAAGCCUAUAAACAUAUGAUGAAGUGAAGGUAGGCAACGAGUAUGGUCAAUAUGAUAUUCUUCUGAGGCCAUUCUUGAACCCCUACUUGAACUAGCAUGGUGGGAAUGACUUAACUAAGUGCAAUGGUGCCAAUAUGAUAUUCUUCUGAGGCAUCAUUUUCUAGAGGCCAAAUUAAGAUGGGUAAUUACAAAAGUUGUAAAUGAGCUAAAGCGUUAUCUCUCUCAUCAUUAUUGUUGCUAGACAAUAUGAUAUUCUUCUGAGGUGGGCUUGGUAAUGGUGAGUCUCCCAUACCGUACUAAGAGUUUCAUCCAAAACUCUCGAAUUCCAAUGAGGGAUAUGGAAUUUGCCAAAAAUAGUGGGUGGUGCUAUUUGAUUUAAAGACCCGGAUCAAAUGGCUGAAAAUCAAUCAAUUUAUAUUCGUUAUGUAUUUGUUUACCAAUAUAUUUGAAAACGCUAUCCAAAACUUGACUAAGAAAAGCCGAAUGCUUUAGUUUCCGGACUUGGUACCACAAUCCCAAAGAUUGUCUUAAAUUGAUUGUAUAUGUACCUAAGUAGUCUAAUCCUCACAAUCUUCCUAUUGAUAAUGUAUCAUUGGAAGAACAUGUUAGAUAAGUCUAUCAUAAAGAGGACAACACUUUUAAUGUCAUAGUUCUUCACUUACAAAUCGUUGUAUGAAGAAAUAAGAGUUGUUUUGAACAACCCUUAGCUAAUGCAAACACUAGUGCUUGUUUCUUUGUUAUAUGAACAAAGAACUUGAGAAGAAAGCACAAGGGCAUGGACACUUUAUGUGCCAUGAUUCUUCACUUAUAAAUUGUUGUAUGAAGAAAUGAGAGUUGCCUUGAACAACUCUUGAAAGUUUGUAAUUAUGUUUAGAACAUAAUGGUUGGUUGACAAAAAUAGUCCAUCAACAUGGACUUAUGAUGAUUUUGAAUCAUUGAGUGUUGAAGUGUUAAACCACUUCUAGAAAACGGAAACUAGGCAAGGACUUCACCUUUGUGUCCCUAUCCAAAUGGUUCACUAAGUUUAUUGUAAACUAUAUAGUGAACAAUAACCACACACUCUCCAAAUCGUUUGAUGUGUAUCACACAAUUGAAAUAAGUUUCAAGAGAGAUAGUGGGAGUUUAGGGACCAUGACUAUUGUAGUCAAAGGAGAAGUCAAAAGAAGAAACCGAAAUAACUCCAAAGGGAACAAACUUUCUUUAUGAAAGGAUGGACAUUGGAAGGGGUAUUUGCAAGAAAUGUCUUGCAAGUGUCAAGAACACGCCUUUCGAAGGUGUUGUAAAUUGUUCUUGAAUAGUUCAAAAUAGUUGGUUCUUCUACUUGAAUGCUUGAUUCCGUAUUAGUAACUAUGUUUUACAAUCGUUGUAAAAGUGUGGCUAAUAAGAAGUAGAAGAUUAAUGAGAGAAGAGAAAGUACUUCACAUUCGAAACGUGAAUAAACUAUAGAUCUCUGCGAAAGCAGUUAGUACUUACUUCCUCAUAUGAACUACCAAAGAAAAUGGAAAAACAAAGAUUGUCUUUACAUUCCAAUUGAAUAAAGGAACUUAAUUCCGUAUGGUAAAUGGAUAAAUGUUUUGUUUGACAAAACAUUGUUCUUUAUUAAUGAAUGAUUAGAUUAUUGUAAUCUAAUUGAUUGUAUCUAUAGUAGAGAUGAUAUGGUAGUGUUAACUGUUUAGAAUAUAACGAUGCUUAAAACCCAAAAGGUUGCAAGGUAGUGACUAAUCCCAACUGAGUUGUGAUACCUCAAAAACAUGAAAUACGAGUUGGUCAUAGAUGGAUGCUUUGGAUCGUUAGAUCCGGAUCCAACACCUUCUUAUUAAAAUUGUAUAAAGGCGAAAUGUUCGAAUCUUUAUUCUUUUGGAAAGAAGAAAGAAUCACAAAGUUGUUGAGGUUAAUUCACUUAGAUGUUAGUGGCACUUGUCCACAACAUAAAACUACUCAUGUUGUAUGACAUCCACCGAAGAUCACUCUCGGUUGGACUAUAGUUUAUUUUGAAUAAACACAAGUCCAAAUACUUUGCUAAAGGUUUCAAAGAAUUCAAGAAAUGUAAGUUGAUGAGUAAGACGUCUAAAGUAUUUGCCUCCUUAGAUUUGAUCCAAGGAAAGAUAACACUUUAGAACAGUUUCCUUGAAUAAUAUCAACGAAAGAAGCAUCAAAAGAUAAUGGAUUUCUCCAUUAGGAGAAGAACGAACUUGAAUAAGAUUUAGUUCGUUGGAUGUUAUCAAUUACCCAUAUAUAGGAUAUAUGCUUCUAAGACAAUAUGAUUGUCAAUUAGAAGAUCUUCCAAAAUUUUUCAUGACUCCAUAAGAUGUAGUUGGAAAGAAAGACAAAUCUUAAGCAUGUUAAGAUUUGGGGUUGUGUGCUAAUAAGCAAUAUUUGUUUGAUAAUUAAUCUUGUGGAUAUCCUUAAAUUAACAUUUGGGAUAUCGCUUCUAUAAACCAACUAACAAAUGUUGUUUGUUUUGGGUAGUUCAUUGUAAUCCUACAAUAGGAUUUGCCCAAGAUAGAGCAAAUGAACGAGGAUAGAACUCAAAGAAUGGGUUCUUUGAAGAAACAAGAUAGUGAAUCAACAAAUAUAAAACAACCUAGUUCCUAUACCACAAGCUCCAAGGUAGUCGAGAAGGAUUUAUAAACCGUCUCAGUUGAAUGGUUUUGAACUUUAUGACUAUGUCAUAGAGUUACACCUCUUAUUUCGAAAGAAAUAAGAAUGAAAAUCCUUAUGACUACAUUGAGUGUAUAUACGAUAUAUACUCAAGGAAAUGGUAAAGUACCAUUUGACCCGAAAUAAUGAAACCUUAAAUAGCUAAUUGGUAGCUUAAGGUGACUACAAUCAAAGAGAAUGGUUGACUUUGAAGAAACCAUCUUUGACGUAGUCUUGUUUUCAAUUAAUUCGAAGAUUGCUAGCUACAACUAAAUGGUGAUUCAAUGUUUGGACAUAAUAUGGGUUUCCGAAACCAUUAUUAAGAUAGUCUUGAUAAUAUAUGUCUAAAACUAUGAAUCACAAGACAUGUAAGUUGUAGAGAUCCAUCCAUCAUGGAUCUUAGCAAGCUAGUGGGAGCUGUAUAAGCGUCUUAUGAGAGAAAGAUCAAAUCGUUUGAUUUCUCAUAAAGAUGUAAAUGAAUCUUUUGUUUACUAGGUUUACAAAAGAUUAGUGGGAGUUAAUCAUGUUCCUAAAUUUGAAAUAUAUAUAUAUAUAUAUAUAUAUAUAUAUAUACAAAUAUAUGAUAUAUUAAUUUUGGAAAUGAAAAGAAUACUUUUUCGUUAAAGUUAUGACUUUAAAACAUUAUAUGAAGAUAGAAUGUAUAUGGGAGACAUAAUCUAUAUACAUGGGAUGGAAAUCUAUAUUGAUAGAUUUUAGGAUAUAAUUGGAUUAUAUCAAGCCCUAAUAAUAGACAGGAGAUGCUAGGAAGUUUCUCAUAUGAUGAUAAACUUCAAUUAGAAGGACGACUCUAGUGAGACUAGCAAGUUGCCCUUCUCAAAGGGAACGUACCCUUUGACUCCCAAAGAAAUAAUGCGUAAAUAGAAUCCUUUAUGCAUACGCAGAAAGGUGAUUUAUGUAUUUCAUAUUGUAUGAAAAACAUUGAUAUGAGUUGUACCUAGAAAGGUACAAGACGAUAUCAGUGCAAGCCCAGGAUCAGAACCAUGGCAACUGUCAAGUGAGUCCUUAAGUAUUUAAGAAAUACUAAAGGAUAGAUUCCUCAAAGAAUGAGGAAGAAUUAGAGUAACGUAAUGGAAGCGUAAAUGUAUUAGAUUAUGAAUCUAAUCCAUCAUUGGAUAUUUUCUUCAUUAUGAAUGAAGAGAUAAAUCAGAUAUCUCUUUAUUAUGACUAAAGAGAUAUUUGGAUGGAAACAUUAAAAGUAAUGACUUUAGUGUGUUCCAUUAUGAAUGCAAAAUAUAUUGCCAUAUAGAAGCUUACAACAAUGUUGUUUGGAUGGGAAAGUUCAUUUAUGAACUCUCUAUUCGGUUCCAACCAGAAAGUGUCUCUAGUGUACCGACACUACGACACUAAUGGGGCGAUAGCUCAAGCCAGGGAAUCAAGGUCUCAUCAAGAUCCGAACUCAAAUGAGAGACUGAACCACAUGAUUAAGAAUCAUGUAUAAUGGUGACGUCGUUAUUCUCAAGGUUGCUUCUAUGGAUAACAUAUAGAUAUCCAUUGUCUAGGCCUACUACUUCAGCCAUUUAUGAAAUGACUACAGAAGAGGUAUCAUCACUGAUGACCAAGCUGAUUGGCUCUAGUGCAAGUGGGAGAUUGUUGGAAAUGUGCCCUAAAACCAAUCAUAUGAUGAUACUUUACGGACAUUUCACAUGUUAAACUAAUCUAGUUUAAUAUCAAAGGGCAAAGAUUAUUGUUUGAGCCGUCUCAUAUAAAUGUUAUAUGCUUAAACGAUAAUUCCAAGGAAUAUGUGAUUGGGAGAAUGCGAAUCUAAAGAAGUUAGAUUCAUGAGACCAUUCUUUCGUAGACACAUCCUAAAAGUUCCUGAUCAUAGGAUUGCCAAUUGGGCAUUGACAGUCCGUUAAGAUCAGUACGUGUUGUGUCUUCUCUCAGGGAGAGUGACUAGUCUCGAGUCAUUGGUGUGUGUGACAUCAAGACAAGUAUGUAGGUGCUCAAUAGAGAAUGAGUUCACUGAACACGAUCAACGAAGAGUUCUCAUACUUCAUGUCACAUGAGAACUCAUGGUUGGGAUAAUGCAAAGUAGUCCUUUGACCUGAGGCAUCAUAGUUGUCUUGUGGUUAAGUCCUUGAUCUUUGAUUAUGUCAAAGUCACUCCAUUCGAGGGUGUCCACGGCAUCGUUGGGGUUAAGCCACUUAGCCAUGGAGGCGAGUGAAUGCGCAACAAGGGAUCUCUAACCUUCAAACCAUUUGGGGGAGAAUACUCUAUGAUAUGAUUAAGAAUCUCUCUGGCCAGAGUAUGAAUGAGAUUUAGGAAGUCGUUCCAAAUCACAUUCAAGGUAAUCAUAUAAGCACAUGAUCACAUUGGAUAGUAGACAUGAAUAAACUAUCAAUCCAAACAAUGUGGUCAAGAGUAUUGUAUUAGAGAAAGACCGUAUUGCAUUUGUAAUCCUAAACUGAAUAGGUUCUCCAGCCUCUUCUGAUUAGCUUGGGUAACCAUGAUAUGCUGCUAGGUGUCACUCAUGGUUUGUGGAAGCCCUAAACGUGUAUAAUCACUAAAGGGAGAAUUGAAAGUAAGUUUCAAUUCACAAUCGAUUUGAAAUGGUUUUAAUCGCCCACUGCCUCGCUAAAAGGAACCUAAUGGAUCGUACACCGUGUAAGGCAGAGAUUGAAGAAACAAUGGAGAUGAGUAAGAAUAAUUAAAUGGUUUAAUUAUUUAUGGCAAGGAUUAAUUAAUAUGUUAAUUAAUCAAACGAAUCAAGUUCGUUAAAAGACCACGGGUUAGUUUUGGGCCUCAAGGCCCAAUGGGCUUCGAACGUCAAGCCCAUUGACUUAAGUUGUAUGACAACUUAAUAACAAAUAAUUCACAAAGGCCUUAAAAGCCCAAUGAAACCCUAUGGCCGGCCAUUUAGUUAAAGGAGUGGGUUUUGGACUUAAUUACAAGUUUGCCACUCAAAUGAAUGUAGGUAUAAAUAUGACUUUAUAGCCAAAAUUCAUUUAGGGUUUCUUUUAGAGAAUUGAAGAGAACACAAAGCUCUCCUUUUCUCUCUAAAGAGGCCGGCCACCCUUGGAGGGAUUAGCUAGUAAUCUUUCUCCUCCAAGGUCACUCAUUUCUUCAUCAAUCUUACCUUGGUGUGGAGACUUAGAGGUUCUCAAUUUUGAGAACUUGGAGAAACCAAUUCUUCCAUCCAAAUCCAUGGAUCUAAGAAGCAAGGAAUGAAGGCCCUCUCCUUGGGUGAUUAGCCUUUGCUUCUGUAAAGAGGAAUCUACAAAGGUAUAAUAUUUCUCAACUAACAAAUGUUGUUUUAAGUUGAGUCAAGGUUCACCAAUCUACUAGGCUUUGAAUUUCAUGGUUAAUAUUUUGUUUUUAAGUGCAGACAAGCAUGAUUCUGCUUUUUAAUUGUUAAUUGCAAGCUAUAGAUGUUGCUUAAAUGAACAUGUUUUUCACAAAAUUUCCUUCAUGUAUGCACUCAAAAACAAAACAUUACCCAUGAAAUUCAAAGCCUAGUAGAAAGGUGAACCAAGACUCAACUCAAAAUAAAGUGAGUUGAGAGAUUUUAUACCUUUGUUGAUUCCUCUUUGCAUAAGCAAAGGCUAAUCACCCAAGGAGAGGGCCUUCAUUCUUUGCUUCUUAGAUCCAUGGAUUUCUUGGAUGAGGAUGGUUGAAAGGAUUCUCCAAGUUCCCAAAGUUGAGAACCUCUAAUUUUUCCACACCAAGGAUGGACUUGAAGAAGAGAUAAGUGACCUUGGAGGAGGAAAGAUUGCUAGCUAAUCUCCUCCAAGGGGGCCGGCCUCUUAGAGAGAAAAAUGAGAGCAUUGUGUUCUCAUCCUUUCCCCAAAAGAAAACCCUAAGGAUCAAAUGGCUAUAAAGUUGCCUUUAUACCACCUCACAAUGGAGUGGCAAACUUGCAAUUAAAGCAAGUUCACUACCCUCCUCUAUUUGGCCGGCCUUAAGGGUUUAUUAGGCUUUCAAGCCCUUUGUUUAUUCAAGUUGCCAUACAAAUUGAGUUAAUGGGCUUGACAUUCAAAUCCCAUUGGGCCUUGAGGCCCAAAACUAACCCGAGGUCUUUAACGAACUUUAUUCGUUUGAUUAAUUAACAUAUUAAUUAAUCCUUGCCAUAAAUAAUUAAACCAUUUAAUUAUCCUUACUCAUCUCCGUUGUUUCUUCAAUCUCUACCUUACACAGUGUACGAUCCAUUAGGUUCCUUUUAGCGAGGCAGUGGGCGAUUAGAACUCUUUCAAAUCGAUUGUGAAUUGAAACUUACUUUCAAUUCUCCCUUUAGUGAUUAUACACGUUUAUGGUUUCCACAAACCAUGAGUGACACCUAGCAGUAUGUCAUGGUUACCCAAGCUAAUCAGAAGAGGUAGAUAACCUAUUCAGUUUAGGAUUACAAUGCAAUACGGUCUUUCUCUAAUACAAUACUCUUGACCACAUUGUUUGGUUU
rnacentral:lncRNA from 1 species